GCCGCUGUAGCCCAAUGGCAGAGGCACCUGUCUUAGGAACAGGUCAGUCGGGGUUCAAGUCCUCGCAGCGGUA
rnacentral:tRNA from 1 species